UAUACAUAUACAUAUACAUAUACAUUCAAAAACUUCAUUAUUGCACCAUUACACCUCAUGAUUCAUUGUUGUUUUGACUCUCUGCUAUGGUGGUACUUUAUCCCCAUGCAGAUUCAAUGUGUAUGUCCUCCUUCAAUUGUAGAGUGUCAUCCCCUUAAGCAGAAAGACUUUGACCUUUCUCCUAUUCCCCACUGAGUUAUUUCCUCGUGGAUGAUUAUUAUUUCAGUUUCCU
rnacentral:lncRNA from 1 species